rnacentral:rRNA from 1 species
UACGGAGGAUCCAAGCGUUAUCCGGAUUUAUUGGGUUUAAAGGGUGCGUAGGUGGGAUGAUAAGUCAGAGGUGAAAGCUAGCAGCUUAACUGUUAAAUUGCCUUUGAUACUGUUAUUCUUGAGUGUAGUUGGCGUUGGCGGAAUGUGACAUGUAGCGGUGAAAUGCGUAGAUAUGUCACAGAACACCGAUCGCGAAGGCAGCUAACGAAGCUAUCACUGACACUGAUGCACGAAAGCGUGGGGAGCAAACAGG